CAUCUUAUACUUUACCAGUUCAAUAUCAAUUGGAACAAAAUAACCAAAUCUGCAAUUACAACAAGUUGAAAGAAGAUUUCUAAGAAAUGAAGAUUCUAUUAUCUGCUUUUCUUCUCACCUCUGUGUUGACGUCGACGAAAGGAAUUUCAGGAGGUGAUAACUACGACUAUUGGAGCCAACCUAGUUAUGUAAGCCAAGCUAAAUGUGCUAAAACUCAAACUUGGUCAGAUCCUGGCAGGUGUUUGGACAAAUGUUCCAAGAAAAAAAAAUGCCCUGAAGGAUUGGCCUGCAAAAAGUUUUGUCUCCUUGAUAGUGGUUUUGAAACGCUCUUGAAAAAACAAAAUUCUCAAUAUUGCAAGGAUAAUAAAAACAUGGUCCCAUUUGAGGGUGGAUGUCUUCCAGCAUGCAAGAAAAAUUCCGACUGUAAGACAGAUGAAGAAGGUGUAAAAACUAGGGGAUGUAAAUCAGUUUGUUAUUUUUAGUUUGGUUAUUUUUAGUUACUUUUAGUUGAAUCGGUUCAAAUGUUUUAGCCGUUUAUAUCCCUGUUCUUAAUAAAGCAUGUUUAAAGAUUCAAA